GGGUCCGGACACACUGAGGAUUGACAGGCAAUAUUAAUACGUGUUUCGGCGCGUAUUAUGUUAAAUAUGCUAGUCCUUUCAUGAUUAUGUGAUAGGUGGUGCAUGGCCGUUCUUAGUUCGUGGAGUGAUCUGUCUGCUUAAUUGCGUUUCACUAAGAGUCUAUCAAUACGUGCGUUGCGGCACUUUGACCCCUCUCUGAGCGCGCGUCUUAGUUGCUUAGCUCGCACAAUUAGGCUCUGAAAGCAACGAACGUGACCGCAACCUCUUGUUGCCUUUAUACCAAACAUUUUUGCUGUUCUCAGCAUUAAUGCAAAAAGGCUUUUUAAACUAGAGGGACCGCUGUUACUUUCUUAAACCAGAGGAAGGUUGCGGCAAUAACAGGUCUGUGAUGCCCUUAGAUGUUCCGGGCUGCACACGUGCUACAAUGAUUGUUGCAGUGAGCAUCUCAUUUUUACACACCGCAUGCGCGAGUCCGUUUAUUCACUUCGGUGUUUUAAACGUGUAUUUCUGCGCGCGGUAAAGCCUGCUUCGAGAGUAAGUGGGU
rnacentral:rRNA from 1 species